rnacentral:rRNA from 1 species
GGGAAAAUGCGGCAGGCAUAAUACAUGCAAGUUGAACGAGAUUAGUUUUAGCAAUAGAACUUUUUUAGUGGCGCACGGGUGCGUAACGCGUAUGCAACCUACCUUAAACAGGGGAAUAGCCUCUCGAAAGAGAGAUUAAUACCGCAUAAUAUAUAUUUAGAGCAUUCUAGAUAUAUUAAACCUACGGGGGUUUAAGAUGGGCAUGCGUGACAUUAGCUAGUUGGUGAGGUAACGGCUCACCAAGGCAACGAUGUCUAGGGGGUCUGAGAGGAUGUCCCCCCACACUGGUACUGAGACACGGACCAGACUCCUACGGGAGGCAGCAGUAGGGAAUAUUGGUCAAUGGAGGCAACUCUGAACCAGCCAUGCCGCGUGCAGGACUAAGGCCCUAUGGGUCGUAAACUGCUUUUGAACGGGAAGAAAUGUAUCUACGUGUAGAUAUUUGACGGUACCGUUAGAAUAAGGAUCGGCUAACUUCGUGCCAGCAGCCGCGGUAAUACGAAGGAUCCAAGCGUUGUCCGGAUUUACUGGGUUUAAAGGGUGCGUAGGCGGACUUAUAAGUCAGUGGUGAAAGCCUUCAGCUUAACUGAAGAACUGCCAUUGAAACUGUAAGUCUCGAGUUCGGUUGAGGUCAUUGGAAUGUAACAUGUAGCGGUGAAAUGCAUAGAUAUGUUACAGAACACCAAUUGCGAAGGCAGAUGACUAAACCGAAACUGACGCUGAGGCACGAAAGCGUGGGGAUCAAACAGGAUUAGAUACCCUGGGAGUCCACGCCCUAAACGUUGAAUACUCGACCUUAGCGAUAUACAGUUAGGGUCCAAGCGAAAGCGUUAAGUAUUCCACCUGGGAAGUACGUUCGCAAGAAUG